rnacentral:rRNA from 1 species
AUUGAACGCUGGCGGCAGGCCUAACACAUGCAAGUCGAACGAGUGGCGGACGGGUGAGUAUUGUCUGGGAAACUGCUUGAUGGAGGGGGAUAACUACUGGAAACGGUAGCUAAUACCGCAUACCAUCAGAUGUGCCCAGAUGUGAUUAGCUAGUUUGUGGGGUAACGGCUCACCAAGGCGACGAUCCCUAGCUGGUCUGAGAGGAUGACCAGCCACACUGUAACUGAGACCAGGUCCAGACUCCUACGGAAGGCAGCGUGGGGGAAGAGUGCACAGUGGGCGGAAGCCUGAUGCAGCCAUGCCGCGUGUGUGAAGAAGGCAUUCGGGUUGUGAAGUACUUUCAACGGGGAGGCGUUACCCGCAGAAGAAGCACCGGCUAACUCCGUGCCAACAGCCGCGGUAAUAC